UACGUAGGGACCAAGCGUUGUUCGGAUUUACUGGGCGUAAAGGGCGCGUAGGCGGCGAAUCAAGUCAGCUGUGAAAUCUCCGAGCUUAACUCGGAACGGUCAGCUGAUACUGUUUUGCUAGAGUGCAGAAAGGGCAACCGGAAUUCUUGGUGUAGCGGUGAAAUGCGUAGAUAUCAAGGGGAACACCUGGGGCGAAGGCGGGUUGCUAGGCUGACACUGACGCUGAAGCGCGAAAGCUAGGGUAGCAAACGGG
rnacentral:rRNA from 1 species